GACGAACGCUGGCGGCGUGCUUAACACAUGCAAGUCGAACGCUGAAGCUUGGUGCUUGCACUGGGUGGAUGAGUGGCGAACGGGUGAGUAAUACGUGAGUAACCUGCCCUUGACUCUGGGAUAAGCCUGGGAAACUGGGUCUAAUACUGGAUACGACAUGUCACCGCAUGGUGGCGUGUGGAAAGGGUUUUACUGGUUUUGGAUGGGCUCACGGCCUAUCAGCUUGUUGGUGGGGUAAUGGCUCACCAAGGCGACGACGGGUAGCCGGCCUGGGAGGGUGACCGGCCACACUGGGACUGAGACACGGCCCAGACUCCUACGGGAGGCAGCAGUGGGGAAUAUUGCACAAUGGGCGAAAGGCUGAUGCAGCGACGCCGCGUGAGGGAUGACGGCCUUCGGGUUGUAAACCUCUUUCAGCACGGAAGAAGCGAAAGUGACGGUACGUGCAGAAGAAGCGCCGGCUAACUACGUGCCAGCAGCCGCCGUAA
rnacentral:rRNA from 1 species